rnacentral:miRNA from 1 species
UGUCAACAGAGCAUGAGGCUGU